CACGUAUAUAUUUAUAUAUGUAUACACACAUUCAUAUAAGUCAUAUAUAUGUAUAUAUAUAUAUAUAUAUAUAUCAUGUAUACAUGCCUA
rnacentral:miRNA from 14 species